rnacentral:rRNA from 1 species
GACCUGGUAGUCCACGCUGUAAACGAUGUCGACUUGGAGGUUGUGCCCUUGAGGCGUGGCUUCCGGAGCUAACGCGUUAAGUCGACCGCCUGGGGAGUACGGCCGCAAGGUUAAAACUCAAAUGAAUUGACGGGGGCCCGCACAAGCGGUGGAGCAUGUGGUUUAAUUCGAUGCAACGCGAAGAACCUUACCUACUCUUGACAUCCACGGAAUUCGCCAGAGAUGGCUUAGUGCCUUCGGGAACCGUGAGACAGGUGCUGCAUGGCUGUCGUCAGCUCGUGUUGUGAAAUGUUGGGUUAAGUCCCGCAACGAGCGCAACCCUUAUCCUUUGUUGCCAGCACGUAAUGGUGGGAACUCAAAGGAGACUGCCGGUGAUAAACCGGAGGAAGGUGGGGAUGACGUCAAGUCAUCAUGGCCCUUACGAGUAGGGCUACACACGUGCUACAAUGGCAUAUACAAAGAGAAGCGAACUCGCGAGAGCAAGCGGACCUCAUAAAGUAUGUCGUAGUCCGGAUUGGAGUCUGCAACUCGACUCCAUGAAGUCGGAAUCGCUAGUAAUCGUAGAUCAGAAUGCUACGGUGAAUACGUUCCCGGGCCUUGUACACACCGCCCGUCACACCAUGGGAGUGGGUUGCAAAAGAAGUAGGUAGC